UUUUUUUUUUUUUUUCUUUUUAAGAUCAAUUUUAUUUUUUAUACAUUCUACCAACUAGGCGAGUCCCUCCACCUGUGUUUGUUCACUGAAAGGAGGACCCCACAGAUAAAGAUUUUGAAAGCUAAACUGACACUGGAAUCAUAGCCUUCAGAGUGCCAUUUGGGAUGUCAGUUCAACUUUCAAAAUCAAUACAGUGCUUUUUGGAUCUAUCACAUGUGAAUGCCUCCCAGUUACUGGCCCGGGAUUUGGGUGGUGGUCUAUUAGUCUUUGGUCUGCUGAAAAGGAUCAGAUCCACACAUACAUAGAGCUUAGCAGUGGACCCAGAGGUACAUAAACAACUUAAUGAAGUCACUUUCUGAGUUCUUUCCUCCCUGUGAUCUCUCUGGUACUUUGAUUCCUUCUAUCUCUAGUCACUUUUGCCACAGUGUCUGCAUCCAGGGCCAACUGGAUGGAGGGCAGAGAGAAAAAUGCAAUGGGAAUUGGUUAUACCCUCUUGGAGACAAAGCUGUACGGGAGAGGAAGGGUCAUCUCCCCAAGUUUUGGCUCCCGCAGGUUCCCACUGCCAGUAGUGGAUGCUGUCACCAGCAUGGGAUUGCUGGGGUGGGAUGGGGGGCAGUGUAAGAGAACACAAAAGAAUAAGGAAGCAAUACAAAGGACUUCUGCACUCUCUUGGGUAUAUUAGAAGAUCCCCUUGUACUCCUUGAACCAGACGGAGAGGGCUUGUGGCCUGUCUGCACCCCAGCAUUCAUAUCCAUCAUCCUUCCAGGGUGCUGAAUUUGGGCUGGGGGAUACCAGAGGGGGAAAAUGGUGAAUUAUCACUGGUUCAAUGGUACUUCCAAGUCUCAUCUUCUUCCUAAUCCACCUGCUGUUUUCUUUCAGAGUCCUCACACAGCUGCUUCAUGCGCUCACAACUGUAUUUGGUGAAAGAGUCAUGGUGGCAUGAGCUUGCUCCACCUUAUCGGGAACCAGUCCAACUAGUGCUUUUUAAAGUUUAUUCUCUACACCCAACAUGGGCCUCAAACUCAUGACCCUGAGACCAAGAGCUUCUCCCACUGAGCCAGUCAGGUGCUCCCCCAACUAAUGCUUUUAAUGUAAGGAAAUGGUAUGAAAGAUUUUAAUUCUCUUCUUGCAUCAUCAUAGAUUUCAACUGCAGUAGCAAAAGAACAUCUUCCCUGUGUUUAAAGAGAAGUAAGACUAAAUAUGAUGAUACUGCAAUUACCACAAGGCAUUUUUUAUUAAGAUGAGCAGAAGGAGUGCAAUAAAUGUAGGGAUUUGGUUUUCAGUUUUAUUUUCAGCAAGAAGAAAAGAUAGGACUCUAUUAACCAUUCUUGGUCAAUUAAUUUCACAUUUCACUCAUUUUGAAUUAGUUUUAGAACACUCUGAAGACUAUUACCAUCAUACAAUUGUUAAUGUUAGUUUUUCUAAGGGUAACAAAGUAUCAACUAUAAAAUGCUGCCAACACUGCCUCUAAUCAAUGACUUAGGGCUGUGGGUGAGAAAGAUUUUGUGUGUGAAUAAUAAUAUAUAUUAUUAAUAUAUUAUUAAUAUAUAUUAUUAAUAUAUUAUUCACACAAACACACAUUUUGGGAGAGAGAGAAUGAGUAUGAAUGAGGAAGGAGAGGAGCACAGGGAGAGAGAGAGUGGGAGUAUCUUAAGCAGGCUCCACGCCCCCACAGGCUUGAUUUCAUGACCCUGAGAUCAUGAGCUCAGCUGAAAUCAAGAGUCAGAUGCUUAACCAACUGAGCGUCCCCACAAGGCGCCCUGAGACUUUAUAUUUUUAAGACAGAAAGUUGGCAGACUAGGUACCCCAAGAGGGAGAAUCCAAUCCUUUACAGUAGAGAGUAUAUGUAGCCAAAUAGCAAUGUUUAUUUAAUGAACUCUGUGCUCCAAGGAGAGUGGGUCUUUAGAAGAGAAAAACAAAAUGAAAUUUUAACUGCGAUACCCAGAAUCCCAAUUACUACAGUGACUUCAUAUGGAUUACCUUAGUCAGCAGUGUUUGAUCAAAUAUAUUUCUAACAUGUUUGCUAAAAAUUAACCCAGCUAAGUGUGAUUAUGGUGUCAAGAAAUACUUCAUGAUUACAAAAAAAAAAAAAAAUUUGAGUAUACAGCACUGUAAUUUUCAGAAUAUAUGAUGAGUUGAUGUUUUAUUAUUUAUAUGGUCUUUAAGAAAUUUGAUACAUUUACCAAUUAAUUCUCUUAAUAUGUACAGACACAAAUAAAUGCAAGUUUUAUAUUUAAGGAUUUCUGUUUCUCCCAGUAAGAACAUUCUCUAUGGGGGCAGUUUUGUUUUGCUUCCCAACUGCCAAAAAUGGCAUUUAAUAAUAGACACAGCUCUCAGCAGAAAAGGCAGAAAAUGCUACCUCUAAAUAAUCCUUCAAUGGAAAUUAUGAAAUAAACCUUAAGAGCCAGCCAUACUUUUUGCCCUGAAAAAUAAAAUGACUACUUCUAGCGGCUACCAUCUACUGAGCAUUACAGUGUUUCAAGUACUGUACCAAGGGCUUACAAUAGGUUCUACCAUUUGAUCCUCCUCAUGUCCUAGGAAUCCUGCUGUCGGCCCAAUUUCCAGAGAAGGAAGCAGAGGCUUAGAGAAGCAUAAGACCACAGUUGGGAAGCAGGCCAGCCAAGACUGUAGCCCAGGCUGCCUGCUUGCAACUUCUGCUCUCCUCUCUCUGCUGUAAGCUACAAGGACUCAAGGAACCCAAAUCCCAGGCCCUUCCUUUCAGGUUAUUUUAAUAAAUAAAGUAGUGUUAAAAAGCAGAAGGUGUAAAUGAGAACAAAGAAGGUCAAAAAAUCCUCCGGUGAGCCCAUUAAUUCACCCCAAUCCCCAAACCUCCUUUACUAUUUGAUGUUACUUAUUUACGUAUUUUAUUUAGUUUUAUUUAUGUAUGUAUGUAUGUAUGUAUGUAUGUAUGUGGGACAGAGAGAAGCAGAGACAUAGGCAGAGAGAGAAGCAUGCUCCCUGUGGGGAUUCUGAUGCAGGACUUGAUCUCAGGACCCUGGGAUCAUGACCUGAGCCAAAGGCAGACACUCAGCCACUGAGCCACCCAGGCGCCCCUGAUGUUACUUUUCUUAAUCAAGAAAACCACCUUGCAAUCAACAGACAUCUUAAGAGAAAGUCAUGUAAUAAAAAGUACCAACAACAAAAUCAGGCUCAUCAGGCUCAUCUUACAUUAAAUGAAUACAGUAAAUCUCAGUCAAAAAAAUCAUUAAUUCUCGAGAAGUUAUACACUUCAAGAGAAACAAUGUAUAUUCAUAUAAUAUUUUACUCACUGACUUCUCUGAAACAUGCAAAAUUUCAUAUGGCUGAUAGAAUUGUCCAGGUUAAAAUGUUGCUCAACACGACAAAGUCCUAACAAAAAAUAUUUUAAUGUAGGAAGCAACAUGUGAACAUUACAUUGAGAUGGUAAAACUGAGGUUACAAUUAUACGAUAAAUAUCAAAUGAUAUCCUUCUGGCUUAAUGGAAAAAAUAACAGUUGUGACAGUCAUGUUCAACACCUUGGUU
rnacentral:lncRNA from 1 species